rnacentral:tRNA from 1 species
AAAAAGAGCCAAUUAACUUUCGUUCCGUCUUAAUGACUUUACUUUUAAUUUUAGUUGUUGGAAUGAUGUUAAU